UAGCACAAUCAGCCGCCUUGCUAUGUGAUGUCCUUUGCUAACUCGGGAAUCUGCAGAGUCCCCACCAUGAAGAGGGCCCUCACAAGAUGCAGCCCUUUGACUUUGGACUUCUCAGCCUCCAUAACUGUAAGAAAUAAAUUCCUUUUCUUUAUAAAUUACCCAGUUUCAGUCCUGAUGAAUUGAUGUCCUGCUAUUGCAAUCCUUUUGGCUCUGUUGUCACUUGUAGCAAUAGUUUUUUGACAUCUAAAUAUAUGACGCACACCUGUUAUUUAAAAAUCAGAGGUAUAAAUGAUUAGUCUUAAAAUAUUCAAUCUCUCUGUACAAACACGCUCACAGUCAGUUAUUUCUCCCUCCAAAGUAUUUUCUAAAUUUCUUGUGCAUCCAUCCCUCCUAAUCCUUUUACUUGCCAUUUCCUCACACCAUCCUGCUCACUUGCCUUCCCUCCCUUUUGCUAUCCCAAACCUCCUUAGUCUAUUAGCAGAUCACACAAUGGGCAAAUGUUUUGGGAGUACUUACUAAACUCCAGGCAUUAUGCUAGGUGCUGGAGAUCCAGCAGAGCAUGUGGCAUGUUGUAGCCACCCCCUUAUCGUCUAUCGGUCCUCUCUCUUUUCUCAAGCCACUGAUGGCCUCCUCUCCCUCUUUAGCAAGCCCCUUCUUUUCUGUCUGCUCCAUAAUUAUUAGGAUUUUCCUUCUAUAUUUUGUCCACACUCCUCUUAGAUCCACAUGCUUUAUUUGUGAUCUCACUGACUUUCUGAGCCUCUAACUGCCAUUAAUGCACUGAUGACUCUAUCGCUCCAUCAUAUCACAAUAAUCCAUUCAUUCAUUAUUUCUUUUAUAAAUAUAUAUGAGCAUUUACUCUUUUCUAACCACUACCCUAGGGAAUUCAAGAAUACAUAAAAAGGACAUGAUCUUUGCCCUCAUGGAGAUUACAGUCUGGUGGAGGAGACAGACAAAAAACAACCGAACAAGAAAAUGAAUGAAAACAAUUAUACAUUUUAACAAUUUUCAUGCAUGAAACAAACAAGGGGAGAAGAAUAAGAAUAUACAAAAUCUACUAUCAGAUAGGAUGGUCAGGACGGACUCUGUGGAAGGAACAUUUGGGCAUAAAUUAAAUGAUAAACAUAAAACAGCUUUGUGAGAGUCUUUAGAGUUAAGACCAUUCUAAGUGAAGGGGAUAGCAUAAACUUAUGCUAAGGUAGUGAGGUGGGAAAAUGUUGCUGACCUUUGUGACUGGAUGAAAAUGAACUUGGGAGAGAGUACUGUGAGAUUAGUUUGGAGAAAAACAAUAGUGAGAUGAUGCAGGAUCUUGAAGUCCUGAAAAAUAAUUUGGAUUCCCUUCUAGAUAGAUUUGACAGGAAAUGAAUUAUUCUAAGCAAAGGAUUGAUGCAAUGUAAUUCACUUGUUUAUUAUUACUCUUGCUACUAAGAGGAAAGUGGAAUUAGUGAUCCCUUAAGAGGCUGUUGGAAUUCAAAUGAGGGAAGUGUAACCGAACUAGCUGAUGGCAGCAGAUGUGAAUGGAAGCCAGUGGAUUUGGUAUAAAUGUUUCAGUAUAAGCAGUAGGACUCGAUGUUGUUGGAUGGUGUGUGGUAGUUGGGAAAAAUGGAGGAAUCAGAAAUGAUUCAUAAGUAUCUUGCUUGAGAAAAUGGGUGGGUGUUGGUGUCAUUUCAGGGUUGGAAGGUAAUCCACUUCAUGAAUUAUUGCCACAGUUCUGUAUUUUUCUGCUGGCCACCAGGCUCUUAUCUCUCCAGUCCAUCUUUUACCAUGCAGAAAGAGAGAUUUGGCUCACAGACAUAAUUUGAUUCUUUCUGGCUCCUGUUCAAAAGUCUCUUUUGAUUACCAAGUGCUUAUAGUUUUAAAUAUACAAACAUGUUGGAUUGGGAUUCAACCUAUUUUCUGGCCUCACUCUGCUGCUGCCCUCCAUACACUGGGUUGUUCCUUUCACAAUGAGUGUCAUGCCGUUCUCUUGAUGCCACCAUCACAUUUCCCACACUUUUUUUUUUUUUGCCUGAGAUCUGGAAUGUUCUUCAUCCUCUUCUGCAUCUGGAAAACUCUGAUUCACCCUCCAGGACCCUAGUCCAGUGUUUUCUUCUUAAGGGACCCUCCUUGACUUCUUUAGAUAGGGAGACUUGAUGGGUAUCAAUUACCAUCUCUUUGCCAGAACAUUUACUGCAUUUUGUAAUUUGCCAGUUCAUGCAUCUGUUUAUCUUGUUAGACCUGCAUUUCUCCAAGCAUGAUAAUAAGACCACUUGCAUUAGAAUCUCCUGAGAUAUUUAUUUAAAAUGUAGAUUCCUGGCUCAUUCUCACUCUCUUUGCAUCAGAAUCUUUCUGGGUGGAGCCUGAGAAUCUCUACUUUAGUCAACUCUUCAAGUGACUCUUACAUACACUAAGCUCCAAGAAUCACUGCAGUGGGCUUUUUCAAGGGCAGGGCCCUAUCUAAUGCUUCUCUCAUCUCCACCACUUAACACACAGGACAUGCUCAAAAGAUGUUUUUGGAAUGGAUACUGAUUUCAAACUAAUAUAUAUUAUUUAUCUAACAUACCAAUUAUUCAUUCAACACAUAAUUAACUCUGAUUAGUACUAUAUUAUUAGCAAGUUUCUAACAUUCUGGUUUUUCAUUCAUACUGUGUGAAGGUUUUUUAAAAACCCACAUGAUACAGCAUUGCAAGAGAAAAUUAGACAUUUAUUCCUUCACACAAUCUUAAAAACAGAAAAAAAUACAAAUCUCAAGUUCUCCUUAGAAAUGAUGUUUUCUAUAAUGUUAGCCAAGAUAUGCACAAACAAGAGAGAUAGAAAUAAUUAGCUAAAGUGUUUGUAACAAGUACACAUGUCCGGAAAAUUCACUGAAAGCUAACCGUCCCAUAGAAGCAGAGCACACCACAGUGAGCCCUCAAGAUUACAAUUAAAUAGUUAAGUGAAAUUUAGUUUGUCUUUUCUCACUUGGUAGUGCUCAUAUAUGUAUGUUCCAUAACACUUUUCUCUGGGAGCAUUUUUUCGUUAUUCAUCAUUUCUUACUAAAAAAUGAUGACUCUCAUAAACUUUAAAGGUAUGAGUACUCAUCUUACUUCUCUUGGAUUACCUUUUGCUUGGACCAACUCUGCACCAGGAUUCCUGCCCCAGUCUUCCUGCCUAGCCCAGUCUCCCAUGACUCCCCUGCCUCUCACCUCCUACCUGAGGCUAUAUUCAGCCACCUUCUUCCACACACAUGCAGCUGAACUCCUGAACAACACAGAGUGGCUAAGAAAGCUGAGGUUAAAGGCUUUGGAAAAAUUCUGAUCUACAGAGAGAAACUAGGGAAUGGGAGAUCCAAGUCCAAGAUGGCCUAGGGGAGAGGACAGACCAUAGUAAGAGUGGGAAGGAUAUCCUCUGCCUCAGGACAUCUUGAGACAAUGGUCAAAUGCACAAGGAGCUAAGGUAAAGGAGAGAUGGAGAGGCAGGACUUGGCCAUCAUGUUAUUAACAGGAAAAUUCAUUUUCUAGUUGACUGUACUAGAAUCAAUCAAUUCUGUACCGGGUAAAACACACAGCAGCCACUAAAAAUACAUGUAUGUUCAGUCCCUCAAGAGAGAAAUACCCAUGAGCCCAAAUUCUAUUUGCAUAAGAAGAUAAAUUGUAUCAAUAUCUCAAUGAAAUCUUCAGAAUGAUAAAAUUGUACUGAAAGACUCCAGCAUCUCCUUUCUUUCUUCCCUUCCUUUACAUUCUAUGUGAAGCUCUAUGAAUCUAGGUCUUUCUGCUUUUUUUCAUCUUAGGAAGGUUAAAAAGUAGGAAGACUACCGUUUAUUACCUUGGACAAAUAAAGUAGUACCCAGGCCUCUUCUAGGCCACUAACGUCAGUCUCCAAGUCUAAUAUCAGCAUCGAGGCAAGAAGUAGAUUCCCACUGAAAACAACACCAACCAAAAGCCUCUCUCCCCUGACUGAUACUGGCUGAAAUUCUGACAGAAAACACAGAACUACUUUGCUCCACAAGAAGUAUUAAAAUCAUUGCAAACAAUGAAAAUAGAAAGGAGGAAAGAUAACCUAAAUUCCUGACAGUGCAUUAGGUAUGCUUAUAAAUUAUUCAUGCAUUUUCAGUCAAAAUACAAUGUAAAUAUUUUCUACAUAAAUAUCUACAUAAAUAUUCCCAAAUUUACAUAGAAGAAAGAGAGAUUCAAAUAGAAAUUGAGCACAUAGGCAUUUCUAGUGUUGAGGGACUGAACUUAUUUGUGUUUUUAGUGACUACUAUAUAUAUUACCUGAUAUAGAAUUGAUUGAUUUCAAUUGAGUACUGUUUACUCAAUUGAUUACAAUUUACUGAAAGUGAAUUUUAAUCUUGGAUCCCAUUUUCUACUGGUUUCUACAUUUAAACGAAAUCUUUUGUCUCAUGGUUUUUCAGCCUGUGCAGUGAAAUUGUGACCUAGGCUUAGUUACCAGGAAUCCAGUGAUCCUAAAACCAUUCUAGUAACUAAAGGGAGAGAUUGGAAACAGUGGGUUACUGUGAGCCGUGAAAACAGCUGGAUAACCAGCUGGAUAUUUCUCAUUUAAUUAGGAUGGUUUAGUGCUGUGUUAAAUUAAUAACCUUAGAAUCUUCUUGCAAAAGUACCUCGAGUUAAGAUUUUCCUUAUACUGUAUGCUACUCACAAGGAAAGAACACCAGAAUUGUACUUUACUUGUUCAUUUGAUAAAUACUCAUUAGGGACCUAGAAGUGUAUUCCUGGGCAUACAGUAGUUCACAAAUAGAAAAUACUCAUGUUCUAGAGGAGGGAUAAUAAACAAAGCAAAUAAUAACAAAUAGUAUCAGAUGCUGAUAAAUACCAUGAAGGAAAAUAAAAGCAGGAGAUGGAAAUGGAGAGGUCAGGGGUUUCAAUUUGAGAUUGGUCAGAGAAGUCAUAAGAAGGUGGCUUGGGAAAUAAGACGAAAAAGAGGUGAAAAAUUACUUUCUUUCCCCUACCCUGACUCUUCAAGGUCGAGAUAUCCUUCUCUCUAAUCCUUAAAUUUCCCUACCUUUUGCUUUCCCCCUCACCUGCACUUUUCCUUUUGCCACCAGCUCUUCUAAUACACUAAUGCUGUCUUUGCUUCUUUUUAUCCAUAAUCUCUCUCUCAUAGCUCAAGUUUCAUUAAUGGGAGAAUGAAGUUUGCGAUGAUCAAGACCAGAAAGAGAUUUAGGGCCAGAGACAAAAAAUAUGAGAGGAAAAUGGGGCAGACAUAUCUAAUUUUUAUCACCUCCUAAGAUCUAUUCUACUCAACUAUCUGUUAAACUCUGUUCAGACAUGGUCUUGCUAGGGAUCUUAAUUCUUGUUGAUAAUCUUCCUGUAUAAUUUCUCCCAGCAUUGUUACUGCUUCUUUGUCAUACACAUAAAAUUUGUGGCAACAUCAUUAGUUGGUCUUCAAAUGUCAGCCUUUCUGGGAUUCCCCCUUACAUUUAUGGCUGUAUUUUCAUCAGACCUAACACUGAGGAGAAUUAAAUUUGAUCGAUACUUAUGUAGCAGAUCUGGAUGACUGGUUGUUGGUGGUGAUAUUUCAAUAACUAUAUAAUUCUCAUCUUGGUGCAUACAAAUUUUGUGCCCCAGAUUCUCUUUCCCAAGAGGCUAAAAAAUAAGGAUCUUUAAACGCAUUUUAUGAAAUACAUCUGCUAAAUUUCAGUAACAGGGUUCAACUUAAAUGUGGAAGCCUGCAUCUUUUGGGGGCUUGUUGAUAUCCUUGCUACUGAAAAUGUGAUCUAUAGACUCCUGGGGCAUCACCUGGGAUGUAGUUAGAGAUGCCUUGCCCACUCUUAUGAAAUCCAGACUCAUUCUACAUCUACUAAGACAGAAUCUGUAUUUUAUCAAGCUCCCCAGGCAAUUUAUAUGCACAUUAGAAAUGGAGAAGCUUUCAUCUAUGAGGUUUCCUUUGUAGAUGUAGAGGAAUGGAAGGGGAAUUCAGGGAAACCAUGCAAUAAAUAUUCAUAACAUCUAUUCAUUUACUCAACGUGUAUUUACUGAGUGCCAUCGAUGGGCCAGUCACUGUGCGAAGAGCUAGGGCACAGCAAAGAAAAAUUAAGACUGCUUAUAUGGGGAUUACAGUUGUGUAGAUACUUUGCUAUGGACCUAGCAUUGUACCAAGCAAUAUGAGACUCCAAAAGAAGUAAAAUUCAUUUGGCCAAAUAUUUUUAUGUAAUUAGUACAUGUGCAAGUACUCUAGAGCUACAGGAAUUUAUAGAGGUAAAAGCUCUGCCUUCAAGAAGUUUACAUGUAGUAGCAAGAUAUGUUCCCAGCUCCUACAAUUCAAUGAGG
rnacentral:lncRNA from 1 species